UACGUAGGGGACAAGCGUUGUCCGGAUUUACUGGGCGUAAAGAGCGCGCAGGCGGUCGCUCAAGUCGGGUGUGAAAGCCCCCGGCUCAACUGGGGAGGGUCAUUCGAUACUGAUCGACUCGAAGGCAGGAGAGGGUAGUGGAAUUCCCGGUGUAGUGGUGAAAUGCGUAGAUAUCGGGAGGAACACCAGUGGCGAAGGCGACUCCCUGGCCUGUUUUUGACGCUGAGGCGCGAAAGCUAGGGGAGCAAACGGG
rnacentral:rRNA from 1 species